UCUUUCCUAUAGAUUGCAGCUCCCUUCGCUCUCUCUCUCUGUAAGUCUCCUGCCUUCUACCCUAAUGGUUGCGCGAUCUCCAGAUAUAUUGUGGUAGGAAAACGUGCAUGAGUUUUCUUCUGUGUCAUCAGUAAACGAGGAGGUCAUUUUCACUUUUAUAUAUUUACUGUCAUUACCAUAUGCAUUUAUGUUCACAUUUAUAUAUAUUAUAGUCAUUGCCAUAUGCAUUUACUAGAAAAACUGUAUUAACUUAUUUUUUUAGGAAUUGUUUUAAUAUUUUAGUCUUUUUUCUAAUUUGAAAUAAUGUUUUUUAUAUCUUAGUAUUGACAUAUCUGUUGGAAAAAAUCAACACCAGAGCAGUGUUGGGUCUUUUCUCUGUUCCUAUUGGGAUGAAAGAAUCUAAUGAAGCUCAUGAACUGUUAGCAGUAGUUAAUAGGGAUUAACUUUGCAAUCGCAAGGUUCAAAUUUUAUUGUCGGUGGGUCAGUAGGUUGAUAGGGAUUAAUUUUAAAAAUCAUCUUUGGACUUAGUUUUCUACUGGAAACGCGUUUUCCACAGGGCAAGUUUGGCACUCAAGUUUUUACCACCAGCCACUGCCCCUCUUCUACAAUAAUCUGAAAUGUUCACUGGCUCACUCGUAGAAAUCUUUGAUGCUGUACGAAGACUACAGGAUACUUUGUGCUAUACAAAUUAUUUAAUUUUACUGUAUUCUUCUACAUUGACGGUGGCGCGUGGGAAAGACGCGCCGCCACUAUUCACUUGUUCAGAGACCUUCGUCAGCACUGCAUGCAGUUUCAAAAAGCUUCCCCAGCACUAUUAUGGAUUUUUGGGGGGUUUAUUUUGUAAUUUUUGAAUUGUUUAAUAUUUUUGAAUUGUUUAAUGUAUUGUUUUGAUUUAUUUUUAAUUUUGGUGAUUUGUAAGAUGUUAAUAGUGUGUUUGAAAAGAAAAGAAAAGAAAUAUAAUGAAAGUGUAUGUGUGUGUUUUAUUUUAAUUUUUAUAUAUUUUUUAUGAUAAAAUUGCAAAGAUUAAAGAAGAAUUUAAUAUUUUGAUUAGAUCACGGUCAAGAAUUAUUAACUUAUACGUAAGUUAUAUUUUUGAUAUCCGAUGAAAAGACAAUUAUUAAAACUUCUUUAACACAUCAAAAGCCAUGAAGCAGCUUACGUCAGGUAGGGUGCGUUAGGGGUGCUAAUACCUUCUCUAACCACAAUCAGUCCCUUACCCGUGAAUCUCUGACAAGACCAGCACGUUCGGUUUCCUAGUAGCCUUCAAUAAAUUACUAGGUGGCGACUCCCAACGAACCAAUCAAAGCAACGCAUUAACGAGAAAAAUCACCAGCCGAUACCGCGCGGAUUUUGACGUGCGACAAUUAUUAUAUAAAAACCUUUGAUCAAUGAUGAAGCUAGCUUUCACUAGCUGUUUUUGGUGUGCCUAUAUAUCAACAUAAGUAAGCAAAUAAAAUGUCAAGGACCAUGUGAAGCAUGAUUCACAUGUUUAUAAAUAGUAAGAGAACCUAUAAAAAAUCAAAUACAAAUAAUUGGAAGUCCUUUCAAAUAGAAGUUAAAGUCUAUCAAGAAAGGAUAGAAUUAAAUUCCUUAUCAAAUGAAAUCAAAACAAAUAAAAUCUCACCUGUUAAAACUUUCAAGCUCGUAUAAAAAUAUUAUAUCCCUCCAGAAUAAGUUCAAGAUCAAGAAUAGAAGGUUAUAAUAUUCAGAUAUGACUCUUAAUUAGGGAAUUUAUACACCUAAAACAUAUACAAAGACUUUGAAUAUUAGUUAGAGUUCUUAAUAAUCACAAUACUAGGUGUUGAAGUUAAAUCUUUUAAAUUAUAAAAAAAAUAAAAAUACUUUGUUAUUUUCAGACACCUAAAAUCCCAAUCUAGAACGAAAAUAACGAUACAACAUACAUGCAACACGGCCUCUUAGUUUCUCUUUCUAUGGAAGUUUAUAUUUGGUAAAAUAGUGUAUAAUAUUUUUUAAUUGAAAAUGUAUUAAAAUAAUAUAAUUUUUUAGAUUUUUUUAACAGCAAUAUAUUAAAAUUAUUAAAGAAAAAUUAAAAAAUUAUUAAUUUAAUACUUUUUUGAUAAAAAAUAAUUUUGAAAGCAGGUUUUUUCUAAAAAAAACACUCCCGAAGUUUUUUUUGCCUUAUGUAUCGAAAAACAAAUCUACUGAGUGUGUGAGGGCUAAAAAGAAGAGAGGGUCAGAAGAUAACUUAGUCAAAAUAAUGUCGGCAAAACGUGCAUGUCAUGUAGUCAUUUUCGGUGAUAGGUCAUUUUCACCAUUAUAUUUUUGUAGUCAUUGAAUAUUUAUGUUGAUAUUUAUAUUUAUAUAUUUAUAGUCACUGUCAUAUAUAUGCAGUUAUGUUCAUGACAGCUAGAUAUAUAUAUUUUAAAAAAAUUAUAUAUAUAUCUUCGUAUUGACAUAUAUGUUAUAUUGCCAUAUAUAAAAAAAAAUUGAUUUUUUAUAAGAAAAUUAUUAUUAUUAUUAUUAUUAUUAUUAGAUAAAAAACAUGAAUAAUGUGUGGACACAUUUUUUUAUGAUAAAAAUAUCCUUAAGUUUUAUUAAUCAUUAAUGUAUUGAAAGGAUUUUAUCCAGCGUUUUCAAAAAAAUAAAUUUUUAUUAUUAAAAAAUAAAUUUUUUAUAUAUUUUUGAUCGUUUUGAUGCGUUGAUUUCAAAAAUAAUUUUUUAAAAAAUUAUUUUGAUGCAUUUCGACACGAAAAAACUUUAAAAAACGACUACAAUUACACUCUCAAACAUGUUAUUUAAUCCCCAAUGCUUAUUUAGAUGAGAAAUUAUCAUUUUGAUGUAUUUUAGCACGAAAAACAUUUUAAAAAGAAACGACAAUCACAAUCUCAAACAAGUUAUUUAGACCUCAAUGCUUAUUUAGAUGAGAAAUUAUUGUUCUUUAGUCUCUAAAUAAUCUUAUCUAGGGUUAAUUAUAAAAAGCAAAAUUAUCAACAUACGAAUUAGGAUAUAAAAAAUGAUAAGUAAUUAGAUUGAAUUUAAGUUAGAAAUAAACGUCAACCUUGUAAUAAUAAUUUUAGGUAUUUUCAGUGUUUUUUUCAUCUCCAGCUCGAGUUUUCUUUUGCGAUCUGUUGUUUUCACAUUAUUGUCAUAUGCUUCAAUAAUCUUCGCCAGCUCAGAGAUAUAUUGGAAAACGAAUUUAACCUAUUAUUAUUAUUAUUAUUAUAUAAGAAACCUUCGAGGGAUUUUUUUUUCAAUGAUGAAGCUAGUUUUCACUAGCUGUUUUUGGUGUGUUAUAUAUCAAGAUAAGUAAGCAAAUAAAAUGUCAAGGACCAUGUGAAGAUCAACUCAUUAUUUUGAUUUAUAGGUGUAUAUAUAUAUUGAAAGCAAAACCUUUAUGAUCUCAAGUAAGCAAAUAAAAUUAAUUGGAAAUCAAAAACUUUAUGUUUGUAUGUAAUAAAAUAAAAUAAGAAUUAUAUGUAUUAAUAAAUAUUAAAUAAAUUGUUAACACUAACUAAAAAUUGAGUUGAGAAGUUAAGUUAUAUAUAUAUAUUGUAAAACUGGGUAUGGUUUAAAGUGUUUUUCAUUUAAAAAUACAUCAAAAUAAUUUAUUUAUUUAUUUUAAAACAUUACUUUUAAUAUCAGCACAUUAAAAUAAUCUGAAAACACUAAAAAUUUAAAACUUAAAAAAACACGGUUUAAACCGCAUUCCAAACAGGUCCUAAGUAUCUUGUCUACCCAAAAACAUAUGAAAAUGGCUAUAAAUAUAUAAAUGUGAACUUAAAAAUGAUUUCUAAGAGGUCAAGUAUAUUUAUACAUAAUAAUCCCUGUAAACUUAUUAAAUCUUCAUUUUAGCCCUUUAAUGUUGAAUCAUGGAUCCAUCUUUUUUUCUAUCAGCAGAUAGUCUUUAUAUAUAUAAAAAAAAACCACCGAUCAACCCACUGAGCAUGUGAAGUUACAAAUUUCAAAUGCAUGAAGGAAGACCCCAUAAUGAAAACGAUGUUUGUUUAUCUUAUAAAUAUAUUUGGAUGCAGCCUUAGCUGGUUCACACUCACCUGCAGACAAAAUUUCCAAGCGUCCUUUGAAGUUGAUGGAAAAAUUGAAUCAAUUGAUAGUGAGAGGGAAAGAUUGUGCAUUUCUUCGUUGUCGUUUAUUCCUUUACAAGACAGAUGCAUUAUUAAAAAAUUGCUUUGAAUCAUUUCCAUCAAUUGUCAAGUAUUUCAUAACAGUAAUUCGAUUCACUUGAAAAACUGGUUUUUCCUAUUCAAUUGCUUAAGCUCUAUUAAAAAACCGGACCGGAUCAUAUAUAAUAAUAUAUAUAUAUAUACUUUUUUUAUUUAGUUCUCCGACUCCGGAUGAGUUUGGGCGUCCGGCGCCUCUUUUGAGGACGGGAGGAAAAAAAACAUAUAUAUCUACACCUUGCACCCUUUUAGGAAAAGAUAAAUCUUUAAGGAAAUAAAUUUUUUUUAUAACAUGUUUAUUAUUUUUUAUUAAAACAAUGUAUAUUGAAGAUCAAAACAUAAUAUUUUUUAUAUAAAAUAACUUAAUAAUUUCAAGUUUAAUCUCUAAUUUAAUAACAAGUUCAGUGAUAUUAACUUUAAAAUUUAAAAUAUUACAUUUAUAGAAAAAUGCAUGCUAAACAUUUGAAAUAUAACCUAUUUAUAUUUAGUUUGAUCCAUGUGGGACCAUUAAGCCAUAUGAAGAGAGGGGUUUAGCCUAAUUUCUUAGGAGUUUUUAAUAUUUAAUUUGUUUUACAUGGAGAACAAAUAUAGAAAAAAAAAUAUUAGCUUCCCAAAAAUAGUAUUUGAUGAUCUAUCUAGUUUUGAUCAAAUGCUACUACAUGUGCUGUAUAGAUAUAAUUAUGGAUUAAUUGAGCUGAGAAUUUAUAGAUACAAUUGUGACAUAACAAGGAUCUAUAAUCUAAAAUAGUAAAGAUUAAAUUUAGAACAACCUAACUAGUGUUCUGUGCGCUAUUAAAACAUCAGGUUUUUUGAGUAUUCUGAAUUAGUUUGUGAUUUCUCCUAACAAAAAUGGAACUCUUUUAGUAGAUAACUAGAACACGUUCCUAUAUGAUAAACUUGAAUAUUAUAUGCUUGGAAAACUGCACAUAAUUAUAAAAUGUUUUUAAUAAAGCAUUUGAUGACUUUGAGAUGCCAAGAUGAAACUUAAUCAACAAAUCACUUAAACACGUUACAACUAGUUUUUUUUUUAAAAAAAAAAAAAAAAAAUAGUUGUUCCUUGUUUGGGUACAAUCUGAUUUUUUUUUUAAAAAUUUCUUUUGUAAUACUGUUGGUCAUUUUUAUUAGAUAUGUAGCUAGUUCUCCUAAAUAAAUUAGUAUGGGUAAUUAAAGUGACUGCAAAGGGUAUUGAUACCGAUAAUCACUUGUUCACCACCGCUAAUCAAGUCUUGCUCUCUAGCUAUCUUAAUACCCAUAUAAAUCUAAAGUCGAAGCUCUGAUCAUUUCACAGCAGGUUCAAUGAAAUUAACAACAAAAUUUAUUACAAAUGUUUAUAUAUGCUGGAUAACUAAAACAUAAUUAAGCAAACCAACUUUUUAAAAAAUAAAAAUAAAUGGAACCACCUAUUGUCUGCAGAGCUUAAACCAAAUCCAAAACUAAACAUUUCAAAGAGCAGAACAAGUUAGUGCUGACCUGAGGACGGAGAUCAGAGGACCGUGUCUGUAAAUAGAGUCCCUAGCCGCGAGCCUCUUCCUAUAUAUAUAUUGCAGCACCUCUCUCUCUCUCCCUCCCCCCCCUCUCUCUAAGUCUCUUGCCUUGUCUCUCUCCCUCUCUCUCUAUCUCUCUAAGUCUCUUGCCUUGUCUCUCUCCCUCUCUCUCUAUCUCUCUAAGUCUCUUGCCUUGUCUCUCUCCCUCUCUCUCUAUCUCUCUAAGUCUCUUGCCUUGUCUACCCAGAUGCACAAGACAAUGGCUAUAAUUAAGGGACUUAAUUAUAUAUGCUCUCUAGAUUCAAGCCUGGCAAGGGCGGAUCUAGGAAAGUCCCUUAACUUUAAAAUUAUUUCUAAAAGAUGAAGUAUAUUUGUACAUAAUAAUCCCUGUAGAAUAUUAAAUCUUCAUUUUAGCCCUUUAAUGUUGAAUCCUG
rnacentral:lncRNA from 1 species